rnacentral:tRNA from 1 species
AUAUAUAUAAUAUUAUACAAGUAUAUUUGAUUUCCAAUCAAAAAGAUUAAAAUUUUAAAUAAAAUA